rnacentral:rRNA from 1 species
UACGUAGGGUGCAAGCGUUAAUCGGAAUCACUGGGCGUAAAGCGCGCGUAGGCGGCAGUGCAAGUCGGAUGUGAAAGCCCCGGGCUCAACCUGGGAAUUGCAUUCGAUACUACAUCGCUCGAGUGUGGUAGAGGGAAGCGGAAUUCCGGGUGUAGCGGUGAAAUGCGUAGAUAUCCGGAGGAACAUCAGUGGCGAAGGCGGCUUCCUGGACCAACACUGACGCUGAGGUGCGAAAGCGUGGGGAGCAAACAGG